UUGCUGUAUUCUAUUGUCUUCUUGUAAUAAUUCUCAUGUUAUCAAUGGAUGAGUGGUGUCUACAAAGCCAAGCCAGGAUUUUGGAGCUGUCCCCUAUCAAAUCCGAAGAAGAAGAUAGGAAUGAUUUAGUCCGAGGUCGCAGUAACAGGGUGACUUGGAGCAAUACCUAUCCUUCCCCUAAUCCAAAUAUGAGAAGUCAUUAUGGAUGUGGUGACAAUUGCUUUUAGGGCUGCUGAGGAUGGGCAUGGGAAAUACUUUUGAAAAUUUGGGAGGAGAUCGGACAAAAUGGC